rnacentral:rRNA from 1 species
GACGAACGCUGGCGGCGUGCCUAAUACAUGCAAGUCGAACGCAGUGGGGACGGGUGAGUAACACGUGGGUAACCUCCCAUCAGAGGGGAUAACACUUGGAAACAGGUGCUAAACCGAUACUGAUGGAUGGACCCGCGGUGCAUUAGCUAGUUGGUGAGGUAACGGCUCACCAAGGCCACGAUGCAUAGCCGCGCUGGGAGGGUUGUCGGCCACGCUGGGGCUGCUACACGGCCCAAGCUCCUACGGGAGGCAGCAGGAGUGAAUCUUCGGCAAUGGACGAAAGUCUGACCGAACAACGCCGCGUGAGUGGAGAAGGUGUUCGGAUCGUAAAACUCUGUUGUUAGAGAAGCGGGAUCUAACCAGAAGGCCACGGCUAGCUACGAGCCAGCAGCCGCGGUAAUAC